rnacentral:rRNA from 1 species
GACGAACGCUGGCGGCGUGCUUAACACAUGCAAGUCGAACGGAAAGGCCCUGCUUUUGUGGGGUGCUCGAGUGGCGAACGGGUGAGUAACACGUGAGUAACCUGCCCUUGACUUUGGGAUAACUUCAGGAAACUGGGGCUAAUACCGGAUAGGAGCUCCUGCUGCAUGGUGGGGGUUGGAAAGUUUCGGCGGUUGGGGAUGGACUCGCGGCUUAUCAGCUUGUUGGUGGGGUAGUGGCUUACCAAGGCUUUGACGGGUAGCCGGCAUGAGAGGGUGACCGGCCACAUUGGGACUGAGAUACGGCCCAGACUCCUACGGGAGGCAGCAGUGGGGAAUAUUGCACAAUGGGCGGAAGCCUGAUGCAGCAACGCCGCGUGCGGGAUGACGGCCUUCGGGCUGUAAACCGCUUUCGCCUGUGACGAAGCGUGAGUGACGGUAAUGGGUAAAGAAGCACCGGCUAACUACGUG